rnacentral:rRNA from 1 species
AUUGAACGCUGGCGGCAUGCCUAACACAUGCAAGUCGAACGGAGGUAGGGGCAACUCUACUUCAGUGGCGGACGGGUGAGGAAUGCGUCGGAAUCUACCCUAUGGUGGGGGAUAACACAGGGAAACUUGUGCUAAUACCGCAUAAUGUCGAGAGACCAAAGCAGGGGACCGCAAGGCCUUGCGCGAUAGGAUGAGCCGACGCCCGAUUAGCUAGUUGGUAGGGUAAAGGCCUACCAAGGCGACGAUCGGUAGCUGGUCUGAGAGGAUGAUCAGCCACACUGGGACUGAGACACGGCCCAGACUCCUACGGGAGGCAGCAGUGGGGAAUAUUGGACAAUGGGCGCAAGCCUGAUCCAGCAAUGCCGCGUGUGUGAAGAAGGCCUGCGGGUUGUAAAAGCACUUUUUGUUCGGGAAGAAAUCAUGCUGGUUAAUACCUGGUAUGGAUGA